GAUGAACGCUAGCGAUAGGCUUAACACAUGCAAGUCGGGGGGUAACAUGGGAGUAGCUUGCUGCUUCUGAUGACGACCGGCGGAUGGGUGAGUAACGCGUAUGCAACUUGCCUCUUAGUGGGGAAUAACCCGGAGAAAUCCGGACUAAUGCCGCAUACACUUAGUUAUCCGCAUGGAUGAUUAAGGAAAGAUUUAUUGCUAAGAGAUAGGCAUGCGUUCCAUUAGUUAGUUGGUGAGGUAACGACUCACCAAGGCAUCGAUGGAUAGGGGAGCUGAGAGGCUUAUCCCCCACAUUGGGACUGGGACACGGCCCAA
rnacentral:rRNA from 1 species